AGCGAACGCUGGCGGCAGGCCUAACACAUGCAAGUCGAACGAACCUUCCGGGGUUAGUCGCCUACGAGUGAGGAGCCCGUGGGAACGUUCACUUAUGGUUGGCAUAACUCUGGGAAACGGGUGCUAAUGCCGAAUCUGCCCUUCUAGGGGAAGAUUAAUCGCCUUUAGGGGGGCACGCGUCUGAUUAGCUAGUUGGGUGAGGUAAUGGCGCACCAAGGCGACGAUCAGUAGCUGGUAUGUGAGAAUGAUCAGCGACUUUGGGACGAGGACACGGCCCAAACUCUUACGGGAGGCAGCAGUGGGUAAUCUUGCGCAAUGGGCGAAAGCCUGACGCACCUAUGCCGCGUGAAUGAUGAUGUUCUUAGAGUUGUAAAAUUCUUUCACCGGGGACGAUAAUGACGGUACCCAGAGAAGAAGCCCCGGCUAACUUCGUG
rnacentral:rRNA from 1 species